GAUGAACGCUGGCGGCGUGCCUAAUACAUGCAAGUCGAGCGAACGGACGAGAAGCUUGCUUCUCUGAUGUUAGCGGCGGACGGGUGAGUAACACGUGGAUAACCUACCUAUAAGACUGGGAUAACUUCGGGAAACCGGAGCUAAUACCGGAUGAUAUUUUGAACCGCAUGGUUCAAUAGUGAAAGACGGUCUUGCUGUCACUUAUAGCUGGAUCCGCGCUGCAUUAGCUAGUUGGUAAGGUAACGGCUUACCAAGGCAACGAUGCAUAGCCGACCUGAGAGGGUGAUCGGCCACACUGGAACUGAGACACGGUCCAGACUCCUACGGGAGGCAGCAGUAGGGAAUCUUCCGCAAUGGGCGAAAGCCUGACGGAGCAACGCCGCGUGAGUGAUGAAGGUCUUCGGAUCGUAAAACUCUGUUAUUAGGGAAGAACAUAUGUGUAAGUAACUGUGCACAUCUUGACGGUACCUAAUCAGAAAGCCACGGCUAACUAUGUG
rnacentral:rRNA from 1 species